rnacentral:rRNA from 1 species
GACGAACGCUGGCGGCGUGCCUAACACAUGCAAGUCGAACGGAGAAUUAGCAAUAAUUCUUAGUGGCGAACGGGUGAGUAACGCGUAGACAACCUACCCUUUAGAUGGGGACAACACCGCGAAAGUGGUGCUAAUACCGAAUAUUGCUUGAGAAGCGCAUGCUUUUCAAACUAAAGAUGGCCUCUAUUUAUAAGCUAUCGCUAAAGAAUGGGUCUGCGUCUGAUUAGCUAGUUGGUGAGAUAAAAGCUAACCAAGGCAACGAUCAGUAGCCGGUCUGGGAGGAUGAACGGCCACACUGGGACUGAGACACGGCCCAGACUCCUACGGGAGGCAGCAGUGGGGAAUCUUCCGCAAUGGACGAAAGUCUGACGGAGCAACGCCGCGUGAGUGAUGAAGGUUUUCGGAUCGUAAAACUCUGUUGUUAAGGACGAAUGUAUAGAUUGUGAAUAAUGGUUUAUAAUGACGGUACUUAACGAGGAAGCCACGGCUAACUACGUGCCAGCCGCCGCGGUAACAC